rnacentral:rRNA from 1 species
GACCCACACAAGCGGUGGAGCAUGUGGUUUAAUUCGAAGAUACGCGAAGAACCUUACCUGGACUUGAAAUCCUUGGAAUACUGUAGAGAUACGGUAGUGCUAGUUUACUAGAGCCAAGUGACAGGUGCUGCACGGCUGUCGUCAGCUCGUGUCGUGAGAUGUUGGGUUAAGUCCCGCAACGAGCGCAACCCUCGUCCUUAGUUGCUAACAGUUCGGCUGAGCACUCUAAGGAGACUGCCUUCGCAAGGAGGAGGAAGGUGAGGACGACGUCAAGUCAUCAUGGCCCUUAUGUCCAGGGCUACACACGUGCUACAAUGGUCAGGACAAAGAGUAGCGAUACCGCGAGGUGGAGCAAAUCUUAAAACCUGGUCUCAGUUCGGAUUGGAGUCUGCAACUCGACUCCAUGAAGCUGGAAUCGCUAGUAAUCGUAGAUCAGCAAUGCUACGGUGAAUACGUUCCCGGGUCUUGUACUCACCGCCCGUCACACCAUGGGAGUUGAAUUCACCCGAAGCCGGAAUACUAAAUUAGUUACCGACCACGGUGGGUUCAGCGACUGGGGUGAAGUCGUAACAAGGUAACCGUA